ACAUGAUAAUAUAAUAUUUAGAUUUUGAUAAUAUUGAAUUUUAAAAGAUAUGCAAUUACCUGCAUUACAUGAUUUUUAAUGUCAAACAGGGAAAUAACAAAUAUAUUUAGUAAGAAAAGAUGAAGCAUUUUAUUAACGCAUAUUAUUUCCAGGCUUUCGCGGGCCACAUAAAAUAAUCUGGCGGGCCAGAUUUGGCCCCCGGGCCUCGAGUUUUACACCUGUGAUGUAGACGAUCUUUGAGUAGCGACUUUAUUACUUUUUUUUAUGCCAUUGGGUGACAUAAAAGUAGGAUUAUUAUUAACACGCAUAAAUUCCAUCUAGAAUAGACCAAAGAUGUAUUAUUAUAGUAGGAUUAUAUUCAUAGAUUGAUGUACUUGGGACAACAUAUGAGGCUCUAACAAUGAUCUUAAAAACCCCUUUGCAGUAGGUGAGCUUGUAUCUUUGCCUCAUUCCUGUGAGAAUCCUGCGUGCGACUGAAGCAUUAAGGAGGACGAGCUGCAGUGUGCUCAAACAACCACCAGGGUUUAAGUGAGGGAUGAAGCAAAAAACUAACCCGGACCAACUGUGACCACGAGGAUCCGAGUCUGGUAGAAGGACGCACAGCUGCAUUUGACUGGCUCGUCUUCCAGCAGAUGAUGAUUCAUUCCACUCGUGGGUGGAUGGAGCUCAUUUCAAAAGGAACUUCCGCUGGUGUUUGCGGACUCUGGAGUGGUCGAUCUUCUUCAUCAGCUUAGUGUGCUUGUAGAUGAGCCAGGUCUCCCUCAGCACGUUGGCCGCCGCGUUCUUUAUCUGCGCACAGACACACACACACAUAAUCAUUACGGGUCGCCCUUGGCAACAGGUUUGUCCGGCGUUUUCUUGAUGCAGAUGGAAAACAACACUUAAGAAUGUUUUUUUUUUCUUAAAAGCCGACCUUAUUCUCCGUGUCUGACCACACACACACACACACACACACACACGUACACGUACACGUACACAUACACACACACACACACGCACACGUUGAUUGCCAAAGCCUUUCAAGCGUACAUAAACAACUCUCUCCUUAGGGACUUUUGGCAAUGGGAACCAAACAGAGAAUCUCCCUCGCUGCUACAUACAGUAUAAAACAAUAUAAAACAUGUAAAAUACGAGGGGUGUCAAAACAUUUUUUUGUAACAAUUCUUAAUCGAUUUAAAAAAAAUAAAAAAAUUUAUUUAUUUUAAACCAGUCCUGUGCAGCCACUCCGGCAAAUCAUAUUGUUGAUGUACAAAACCCAAAACCAGUGAGGUUGGCACGUUGUGUAAAUGGUAAAUAAAAACAGAAUAUAAUGAUUUGCAAAUCCUUUUCAACCUAUAUUCAAUUGAAUAGACUGCAAAGACAAGAUAGUUAACGUUCGAACUGGAAAACUUUAUUUUUUUGCAAAUAUUAGCUCAUUUGGAAUUUGAUGCCUGCAACAUGUUUCAAAAACAAGUGGCAAAAAAGACUGAGAAAGUUGAGGAAUGCUCAUCAAACACUUAUUUGGAAUAUCCCACAGGUGAACAGGCUAAUUGGGAACAGGUGGGUACCAUGAUUGGGUAUAAAAGCAGCUUCCAUGAAAUGCUCAGUCAUUCACAAACAAGGACGGGGCGAGGGUCACCACUUUGUCAACAAAUGCGUGAGAAAAUUGUCCAACAUUUUAAGAACAACAUUUCUCAACGAGCUAUUGCAAGGAAUUUAGGAAUUUCACCAUUUACGGUCCGUUUUAUUAUCAAAAGGUUAGAGAAUCUAGAGAAAACAAUGCAAGGCUGUAAAGCAACAUUGAAUGUCUGUGACCUUCGAUCCCUCAAAAAGCGACAUCAGUGUGUAAAGGAUAUCACCACAUGGGCUCAGGAACACUUCAGAAAACCACUGUCAGUAACUACAGUUCGUCGCUACAUCUGUAAGUGCAAGUUAAAACUCUACUAUGCAAAGCGAAAGCCAUUUAUCAACAAUA